UGUAACUGAUACAGAGAGAGAAAGAGAGGAGAGAGAGAGAGAGAGAGUCCAUCGUCUUCCUCCCGGAGACAGUCCCUUGUCCCGUCUCCUGCAUAUUCUUAGAUAUUUGGGCUGCUUUACUUUUUCCUGCUCUUUUCUUCAUACCCCACAUUGCAUUUCGCCAUCGCCAUCGCCUUCACUGCUUUCCCCAAAAGGAAAUAGCUGCUCAGUGAGAGAGAGAGGCCUCAAAACGAUUUUCGAUUUCUCAUUUACCCCAAUUCAUUCCCCCCUAUAUAAUUUGGAAACCAACCACACAGGAAAAGCCAUCCCCUUCCCAUUGGGCGCUCUGAAUAUCUCCGCACAUUCGGUCCCAAUCCUGCUCCCUUCCCCAUGGAUGAAUUCAAUUUCAGGAGGCGACGCGUGCCUGCGUUCGGGAGCUGGGAUUGCGACGGCAACCUGCCGUUCACGCAGUGUUUCGAAUCGGCGAGGGAGGCCGGCCUGCUCCGGUGCAGCUAUUCCGGCGAGGAUCGUGACUUGUACGUCGCCGGCGAUCUGUACGAGAACGAUGUUGUAACUCCCGCUGUGAUUGUUGUACCUCGCCACAGGGCAAAAGUAGGAUAUUCAAAAGAGAAACAAAGGAGGAAAGAUGAUGAUGAUGAGUGGGUGAUGUGGAAUUGUGAUGGUGAAUUCAAAGAACCACCAAGCCCUGUCUCGGCAUCUGUGGCUCUGCCGCCACCGCCAGCGGCAGCAAAGCCAGUCGACCAAGAUCUGUACACCAUCUCCCCCGACCUCCUCCGCGCCAACACCAAAAGGAAGAGAGGAUGGGGAGUCUUUUCGAGCUGCCUGCGCCCGGUGUGUCUCCGUUGAGUCCCGACCAAGUAUGAGUUUGCCGUGUCGAUGCAUUCAAUACAUUCGGCGGAUAAUAAAUCGGGAGCUGCUCUGGGUAAAUGAAUCUUUAUUAUUAUUAUUAUUAUUAUUUUAAAUGAAUCUUUGAUGGUCUGGUUUUUAGCUGUACUUUUUGUUUUUGCGCUGUUGUGUGGUAAAUUGAAAAAAAAUAGGUGAUCGUGGAAAGUAAAAGUGAUCAAAUAAUGUAGGACUUGUGUUGGGUUGUUUAUUGUUUUUUUUAUUUUUUAUUUUUAUAACGUGGGAAUCCGUAAGCCGUAGUAGCUACUCAAAGGUGUACACUGGAUAAACUUUCGGCCGAAUUUAAUACCCUUCAAACUAAGUUCAUCAGGAAAGUCACGUUAGGCCAAUCAUAUAUUUUUGUUUGUAUUAUACUAGUUGAGUAAGGGAAUUGAUUUAUUA